AAGCGGACGCUCUCUGCCGCUCGCUCUCUUUCUCUCAGCAGCACGUGAGUGGUUGUUCUUCCCCAAACAGAGAGGACAGAGCCGCUCAAAUAAAGCAUGUUCAUAAUGAAUUACACGCGAGGAUCCCAUCGCAGCGCGCGCAAGCCACCGUGAUGAAUGCUGGAUUCACGUGCUCGUGAUUAUCUGCUGGCUGAUUUACUGUGUGAUGAUCACGCGCAGGUCAUGAAAAUGGUGAACGUCUGUAUCUAAACGCUGAUUCUGCACUGAUCAGAUGGAGCUGAAACCAUCAUGGAGUGUCCUGAUUCACUUGGAUACGGAGCUAUACGCUCCAUGGGGACCGUGAAUGCUGGAGAUUGAUGUCAGACCAUAAAACAUCUCUUUACCGUGUUUAUUAUCAAAUAAAGCAUAUCAAAACUA